UUACUAUUCUGUGUUUAAAAUUCUCGGCUGUUCUAACCGCGUACAUUAUAAUAUAUAAUUAGUAACAGUUAACAGUGUGCUUUAAUUAUAUAUGUUUUAUAAUAUAUAGAUAAGCUACGAAAAACAAAUUGGUAUGUUUGCUUAUAUCGUUAAUUUUUUGAAUGUAUAAUUUACAAUUUGAAAUUAGUUCCCUUCAGGAUGAGUAUAAAACGCUUGAAAGGAGAACAAUGGAUAAAGGAAAUCGUUGAUUCCAAAAGUGAUUCUGAUUAAGAAAGUGAAUAUAAUUUAACAUUUCACAAAAGGAGGAGGAACAAUCCAGCGCGUUACGACAAAGCAGUAUAAACGUUUUAGAAAUGUUUUUUAAAUACGUUAAAUUCCGCGUCAGUCACCCGUCAGGUCACAUUUAUAGAGGACAAAUUCAGUCUACUACCAUUUUCAUAUAUGGGCAUCCUAGGUACGAUGCUGGAUGUCCGUUUUGGCCACAAUUUGCGCACUUUAGUUUUUCUUUACCUGAGGAAUUGCUCAUUUUACAUUUACCCGGUUCUUGGGGUUGGGACCAUUUUACGCAUCUGUACCCCAUAUUGCAAUUAGAGCUGGCAUGCCCCACUCUUUGGCAGUUUUUGCAUUGGAAUAUUUUGGAUCUUUUCAGUUUCUCCCAUCUUACUCUUUGAUUGAGGAGUAUUUUAGUUCAUGUGGGUCGCUGUUGCAAUCGAUUUGGAUAAUGAAGUGGUUAUAACGACGUAAGGACGAAUAAAAAAAAAUGUAAGCAAAGAAAAAGAAAAAGGAGGAAGUAUACAUAGAAGCAAUACGUAAUUUUACAACCGAUCUAAUUUAAAAGAAAAAAGAAAAAGAAAGAUGGAGGUAUAUAAUGAGUAGUGAUACGUAUAUAAUCGUUACAGUAUGUCAAAUUCCUUCGGAUUGAGGACAAUUGUGUUUCAGUAAUAAUUAUAUUAAUCAUAUUUAAAAGGGAAAAAUAUUUUCUAUGUUAAUGGGAAAGAAAAGAGAAGAAAAAAAGGAAAAAAAAAAAAAGAAACGCAAGUAUGGACAUCAAAGAAUUUCUUGAAUUUGACAAAUUCACCAUGGAUUUUAUCGUAAAUUAUAUGGAAACAUUGAGAGAUAGAUCUGUUUUACCGAACAUUGAAUCAGAAUAUCUCAGUCAAAUAAUACCAGAGGAAGCACCUAAAAAAGCAGAGACCUGGCAAGAAGUUUUCAAAGAUAUUGAAAGAGUAAUUAUGCCUGAGAUAACCCACUGAAAUUCACCUAAUUUCUACGCUUAUUAUCCUUCUUCCCAAUCGUAUGCGUCCAUCAUUGGCGAACUUUUAUGCGCCGGAAUUGGUGGUGUUGGAUUUUCUUGGAUAUGUUCGCCCGCCUUUACCGAAUUAGAAGUUAUAACAUUGAAUUGGGUUGGAAAAAUGUUAAAUCUACCAUUCGAAUUCUUAAAUUGCUGCAAUGGAUCCGGAGGUGUUAUACAGGUAAAAAAAAAAAAAAAAAUAUGCCGUGAUACUUUUCGUCGGGCUAAUGUAAUUUCAAAUGGAUACCGUUAUAAGAAAUAUCGUUAUCUCAUAAAAGAUAGUUAAAACAACUAUUAGUCACAUUAACCGUUUACGUACCAUGAGCCAUUUUCACGCUCUUUAAAUUUUGUGUCGAAAAAAGCCAAGGCAUUUGGCUGAAACAGACAACUGACGGCCCAUCCGAAAUUUGUCGAAACGCGCUCAGCCUUUCAGACGCAUGUACGUCGCAUCGCUAUCAAUAAUCCAAUUUGUAUUUUGUUGUUACCUAUUCUAAAUUAAUAGAAUAUAUAUAUAUAUUUUUUUUUCAUUCAUAACUGAAUGUUGGUAUAAAAGAAGCAAACACGAAAAGCGCGGCCUCGUUGUUUACCACAUUGAACAUGAUAAACGCUAUCGCGCUCUUCGGUUUUUUUCGAUGUAUAAUCGAAGAAACUCGAUCGCGCUCCUUGGCGUUUUUCGACCAUGUUUUGUCAAAACCCUCUGGUACGCAAACGGUUAAUAUUAAUUAGCCAAAUUGGUUAAUCGAUUUAAUCAUAAAAUUCCAUUAGUAGUUAGGUCAACAUAUAUACAUAUAUUAAGGGGACCGGAAAGUAAUGUCGCUUUCUUAAAUUGAAUUCAAACGAAUAAAUUUUUAACAAUUUUUAAAAAUCAAAUAUCGACAUGUGCAGAAACGACAUUACUUUCCGGUCCGCCUAUUAGUAGAGACAUUUCGUUGACUUUUUCCGUUUAACACGUUCCGUGCCAAGCCAUUUUUGUCUGACUUGUCGUUCAGGCCAUUCGAUAUUUUGACUAAACAAAAAAAAAAAUGACUGCGUGUACCACCGGUGGUACACAUGGCACGGAAUGUGUUAAAGAAAAAGAAUCAAAGUAAUUUUUCAUGCGAUGAUCAUCGUGUUUUCUUCUAAAUACGAAUAAUAAUAAUAAUAGUAGUAAUAAUAAUAAUAAUAAUAAUAAUAAUAAUAAUAAUAAUAAUAAUAAUAAUAAUAAUAAUAAUAAAAAGAACGUUAUCGAUAGUAACAAAGAAGCAUUUAUAUAAAAAAAGAAAAUAAAUACGAAUGUAACGUAACUUCGUAUUGUAACUUCGAUUUACUCGAAAAAUAUUGAAUUAAUUAAUUAAACGAUAUUAUUUACUCGUAUGAAAAUAAUAGAAAAAGAAAAAGUAAAUAUGAAUGAAAAAAUUGAUUUAAGAGAGAUCGGAUAAAAAGAGAAGAAAAAAAAAAAAAAAAAAAAAUUUCGGGCUCGUCCGGGAUUUGAACCCGGGACCUCUCGCACCCUAAGCGAGAAUCAUACCCCUAGACCAACGAGCCAUAGCAGUACUUGUUGAGCAUUCGAAGAGGACGGACGUGCGGAUCGGUGCUCUUGUGAGUGAAGAAAGACAAUUCAAUCCCCUACGGGGAAAACGCAAUAUAACAAAAAAAAUAAUGUCAGUUACCGCAAGACGGGUGCUUUCCUUUUUCAAUUGUGAUAUUGUGUUAGUAUUUUUUGCAAAGCAGACAACAAAAUUAUAAAGAAUACGUGAAGUGGGCUCAUCCAAGGCCCUUUCAUGGAUCCAAAAAAAAAAUCAUGGCGUCAAACCAAAAAAGAAAGCUUGAGAAAAGCACUUCGUCGGACGAAGUGAACAAACUGUUGAAAAAAAAUAUCAAAAGCUUCGGCAACGAUUUCAAUACCAGGAGCUUGGUAAGACUACUCGAAAAUAACUGCCAGGCAAAGCCAAAUACUAACGCUAUUAGAAACAAAGAAAAUGAGAGGACCGAAGGGUUCCUCAUACCAAGAAAAACAGCAUCACCAACAAGCACAGUCAGUAACCAAGGCCCAAGCUAUAAAUCUGAUAACAGAUUCGAGGCGCUAUCGGAUGACAUGAGCCUUACGGAAAAGGGGGACAACGAUAAGGCCAACAAAGCCACAGUUAGUAACAACAACCAGAGAACCCAUAAAAUCCGAAUGCCCCUUAUAUAUAUACAAAAUGCUAACCUGAGGGACAUAAUCAUCUUGUUUAACGAAAGCAAGAUUUAGAAGGAUUCGUUUUUAUUAAAACAAAUAGAUAGCGAUAUGACGAGACUGACAGCCAUAGAUAGGGAAACACAUGAAGAAUGCAUAACCGUCCUAAAAACGAAUAACCAGAAAUUCCAUACAUUCACGCCUAAACACACAAAAUGUAAGACCUUUGUGGUAAAAGGAAUUAGGGGGGAUUCGAUACUACGGACGUCUCAACAGCGCUCAAUGCGCUCAACAUGAGAAACGUAAAUAUAGUUAAAACCAGCAAACUACUUUUUGAUAAACAAAACUUAGAUAAAUACUACUUCAUUAUCCAAAUCGAUUGCAACAGCGACCCACAUGAAUUAAAAUACUCCUCAACCAAAGAGUAAGAUGGGAGAAACUGAAAAGACCCAAAAUAUUCCAAUGCAAAAACUGCCAAAGAGUGGAGCAUGCCAGCUCUAAUUGCAAUAUGGGGUACAGAUGCGUAAAAUGGUCCCAACCCCAAGAACCAGGUAAAUGUAAAAUGAGCAAUUCCUUAGAUAAAGAAAAACUAAAGUGCGCAAAUUGUGGCCAAAACGGACAUCCAACAUCGUCUCUAGGAUGCCCAUUUAUGAAAAUGGUAAUGGACAUUAAAAAAAAAAGAGAAAGAAGUAAAAGAUAAGCGUGUAAUGGAUAAAUUCAAUAUAGUUAAUAAAUUUACGGUCCCAAAAAUCUCAUAUGCGAACACAGUGAGGAACAAUGAAAAAAAAGAGAUACACCAGAACAAGAUAACCAGAGAUUAGCCAUUAACAUGACCCAAGCUAAUUAACAAAAUAGUCAACAUAAUCCAGUUGAACAACAGGAAAUUAACGCCAAUAACGAUAUCAACUAUAAUAAUAUAAAUCAAAUAUUAACUAUGCUUAAGGAUAGUCUGAUGGAAAUUAUGGCACAAAUACUAGAAUUAAAUAACAAAGUUACCCAAAACACUAUGAAAAUCGACUUCAUGGCUCAAUGGACUAACAAAUAAGGACUAACAAAAAUAUAAAGAACACGCUGAAAUUGACUGUUAUAAAUGUAAACUCGCUGUGCUCGUUAAAAAAGAGACUAGACUUACAAAAGUACUUAGAAGAGCACAGUUACGACAUUGCAUUGAUAUCAGAAACUAAAUUAAAUAAUAAGCACAAACCAAAAUUUUACAAUUACGAAAUAAUCAGAUCGGAUAGAGCAACAAAUACCAAAGGAGGGGGUAUAGCGAUAUUAAUAAAAGACAACAUAAAAUAUAUUAACAUCACACAGCCAAGGAAGUACACAAUAUUAGAAUACUCAGUUGUGAAAAUAUUGGUAAACGCAAAUAAAUUACUACUCAUAUUUAGCAUAUACGCAACACAGUCAUCAAAAACACAUUUAUUUCGGAACUUGAUCAACUAUUUAGAGAUUUCAGAUUAGGGGACAAUGAAAUUUAUUACAUCAUAGUGGGUGACUUAAAUCCAAGAAAUUCAAUUUGGUGAGAUAAGGCUGCAAAUGAUAGAGGCAGACACCUACAUCAAUGGGAACAAGACAACGGCAUUAAAUUUGAAUCAACAAUAUACUCGGCACUCAACCCCACAUACAUUAGAAGCAGCUCCUAUCUUGACUACUGUAUUGCGGACAGUAGAAUAGAGAUCUUGGAUUUAAUAAGUAACAAAAUACAAACUAAUCUAUAUGAUAGCGACCACAACACAUUAACCGUUAAAAUUGACACAGAUAUGCUUUUUCCAAGGCAUAUCAAUGGCAGCACCCAGAGCAGCUAUCUUCAAUUUCAAAAAAGCGAAUUGGCGUAAGUUUGCUAAACAUGAUUACUUCGAUUGACUCGAAAUUACAGACUAAUAACCAGCUGCUCACAAAUAGAAAUUACUCAAUAGAAGAAAUAGAUGAAAGCAUUAAGAAUCUCGAAUAAAUAAUUAUCAAGUCCAUUAGGGAAAUACCUAAAAAUCAACCAAAUAAAAGUGACUAUUACCAAAAAUAUGUUAGCAACAAUAUCAAGAAGUUACACUUAACAAAGUCCUUUUUAAUAACGAGACUUCACUUUAUUAAAUACCGAAGCCCAUAUAACCACAGCAAUAAAAAUAUGCUAUGGACUACUAGUGACAACUAGUUUAACUUAUGCAGUUCCUACAUUAUUGAAUAUAGGUCCAACUGUAAUUGAAAAAUGAAAAAGAUUUGAAAGAUCUUGGUUGAGAUCAACCCUAAGAACGCACAGAACCGCUGAAUCAGAUUAUAAAAGGAGAAUAAAAAACGAGACCAUUUACAACAAUGUCAAUAUUAAUAAAAUUGACUGGUUUUUCUCUCAAAAUAAUCAGAAAAUAUUUUAAUAAUAUUGAUCGUACAAACAAUAGCUUAAUUACAGACCUUAUUUCACAAGAAGGAGACUCAAUUCUGAGUAAAUUAAAUUCAGGCUACAUUCCACCGCAACUAUUCAUUUAUUGUGACAAAAAUGGUCUAAUCCAAGACUACAAUAAUCUUUCACUAAACUAUCACCGCCGAAGACAUUCUAAGAACAACAAAUUAAUAGUAUCUAGGAUGAAGAUAAUCAGGAGAAUUACACUUUCUCGAAAGCACUACCGAAUAGAGAUUUAAAUGAUAUUGAUAGAUUAUGUAAAAAAUACUUCUGGCUACGAGAAGAUGCAACAUACAUGAACGAUCUACGCUGAAAAACAAGAUUUAAACAAUUUUAAUUACUCAAUACAGAUCAAUAGUAAUCAUAAUACAUCGAUAAGAGAUAUCUUCUAUUCUAAAAAAAAAAAAAAAAAAAAAAAA